GGUGGUAAUGCCGGAUGCUCCAGUUGAUCGCAUGGUCUUCUGGGAAAGCUUUCGCGGUAUGGGAUGGGGUCGCGUCCUAUCAGCUUGACGGCGGGGUAACGGCCCACCGUGGCUUCGACGGGUAGCCGGCCUGAGAGGGCGACCGGCCACAUUGGGACUGAGAUACGGCCCAGACUCCUACGGGAGGCAGCAGUGGGGAAUAUUGCACAAUGGGCGCAAGCCUGAUGCAGCGACGCCGCGUGAGGGAUGGAGGCCUUCGGGUUGUAAACCUCUUUUAUCGGGGAGCAAGCGAGAGUGAGUUUACCCGUUGAAUAAGCACCGGCUAACUACGUGCCAGCAGCCGCGGUAAUACGUAGGGUGCAAGCGUUAUCCGGAAUUAUUGGGCGUAAAGGGCUCGUAGGCGGUUCGUCGCGUCCGGUGUGAAAGUCCAUCGCUUAACGGUGGAUCCGCGCCGGGUACGGGCGGGCUUGAGUGCGGUAGGGGAGACUGGAAUUCCCGGUGUAACGGUGGAAUGUGUAGAUAUCGG
rnacentral:rRNA from 2 species